rnacentral:tRNA from 1 species
UGGCUUAGUUGGUUAAGCAUCAGACUCUUGAUCUUAGGGUCAUGAGUUCAAGCCCCAU